rnacentral:misc_RNA from 1 species
UCAACCCUCAAGCCCGGCUUGGUGUUGGAUCGGGUCGUGCGAGCGACCGGUCCCAAAGACAAUGACGGCGUCUGUUGGACCCUCGGUGCAAUGAGCUUUCACGAGCACGCACACGAGUUUCAAGGACCUUCGGCCCGGUCACCUUUAACCCAUUUUUACAA